GAAGGCAAUCUAACCUGCAGGGUGGGAAGAGGGCUGUUGUGGUUGUGAAGAUUUAAUGAGAUAAUACAUGUAACAAGUUCUUACCAAGUGUUAGUUAUGAUGUUCACGAGGAGGUUGGCUUCAACGACAGGGUGAUAAAGGGAAGCCUAGAAGGAAAGUGUGAGAAGAGAGCAUGGCAAGUCUGUUACUGGCCCCACAUCCAGGGCCACAAUACUUUUAUGCACCUCAGGCACUUUUGCCUUUGUAGGUUCCUCCUCUAUAUAAAAUAUUAAAAAUUCUAUGACCACAUGACUUUAUAAAGGGGUACAGAAUCCCUACUGGAUUUGUUAUGAUAUGUUCAAUAUUGUCCUAUUCAAUUUUUCUUGUGAUUUGAAAAAUAUCACCACUGAUAUUUAAUUAAAAGGGCCUCUAGAAAUCUUGUGGCUCCUAGCCAAGGUGUCCGCUGUGCCUAACGGCUAAGUCAGCCCCGGGCCCGGCGCUCUGCUUACUGUUCCUUGGACCCACAGUGCCCUUCUGUCCUUCUCGGUGGCACCGUUCCUUCAGCCUGGCGUGUCUGUCCCUCAUGCCACCCCCACCCCCUGUCCUCAUCCACCUGACAGAUUCCUGCUCAUCCUCAAGGCUCAGCUCAAAUGUCACGUUCUCCUGCCAGUGUUAGCAAAUUAAAACGCAGGGUGCCCAGUUGAAUUUCAGAUAAACAAAGAGUAAUCAUUUUAAUAGAGGUAUGUCCCAAAUAUUGCAUGUCCCAAAUCUUGCACAAAGCAUAGUUCUAUUAAGUAGCUUCAUGUUUAUCUGAAAUUCAAAUGACCCUACCCUGUAACUGUCCCUGGCUCAUUUUCCUUUCAGGUUUUCUUCUCACCUGCUGCCGGCUGGGCCAUUCUAGCUCACUCUGUGCACCUGUCACCAUACAUCCUCCACCCCAGUCUGCAUUCUCAGCAUUGUUACCCUCACCUGCCAUGGGGCCAGGAUGUGGCCAUGCAUUCGUUGUCACACAUGACACUGGCCACAGAGGAGAAAACCAGCCUGGGCUGAUCUCAUGGACAUAAGCCACAGGAGACUGUCAGAGCCUGGUGACCGGGCUCCUAAUCCAGUGCUCACAUGGUUCUCGGCAGCAAGAAUUCAGAGCCUGGAGCUCCGCUGAAGCAGCAUUCCCUGCGAGAACCACUGCAAGGGGAAUCAAUCCCUCAAGACCACGGAGUGGCCAAAGCACUCCGUGAUUCAAAACAAUUCGAGCCUGCGGAGGAUUUUCAGUAAGCAUGGUGAAAGUUCUCUUUUUUAUUGCUAGGAAUUUCCCAGCUUUCAACACAUUCUCCCUUACGUGAGAGACAUUCAUUUUCACAUUCUCCCUUUGGAAAGGAAAUUUCC
rnacentral:lncRNA from 1 species